rnacentral:rRNA from 1 species
GAUGCCGUGUCUAGGGUUCUUGAAAACAACGACCUCCUCACAGACAUCCUGCUUCGUGUAAGCUUCCCCACGACCCUCGCCCGCGCAGCCGUCGUGUGCACGCGCUGGCUUGGCCUUAUCUCCGACCGCGAGUUUCUGCACCAUUUUCGCGAGCUCCAUCCACCCUGCCUCCUUGGCUUCUACCUUUAUGACCAAGGGUUGGUGCCCACCGGUCCACGCUUCGUCCCGAUGCCGCCGCCUCAGCCUCCAGAACUCGUCGAGGUCAUCCAUCGAUCAAGUUUUAGUUUGGAGACCUGCCCGAGCGACAGCGUGCGCACACACGUCAUGGACUGCCGAAACGGCAAAGUCCUAACCUUGCGCCACAAUGGAGAUGGAAGCGGAUUCGCAUAUCAGGUGCACACCCCAUUGUGCCCUGAGAGAGCCAUGGAAACUGUCCAACCAUUCACAGUCUCCGAACCGUCGCGCGGUAGUUUCAGUGGAAUCCUCUCCAAAGAAGGAAUCAACGGCUUAUCCUACUUUAUGGUGUAUGUGGAGCGUGAUUGGGAUGGAAUGAACCCGAUGAUGACCAAGGUGCAAGUAUAUACGUUGAGAGAUGGUGUUUGGUCCGUGCUUUCUUCAACCAGUGCACAUCUCGCUCCUCUGCGAUUGGACAUAGAACCCGUGCUUGUUGGCAGUAAAAUCUAUAUGGCCGCUGCGAUGAGAGGUGUUAUUGUCCUAGAUAUGACAACUUCAAGUUUAUCGGUGAUUCAGCUCCCACAAGGAUUGGAGUAUGGUUCUUCUGACACCAUGUUCUCAAGGGCUGAUGAUGUUUCCAAAAUUUAUCUCAUCCAUGUCAAGGAGCUCCAACUUGGCAUAUGGCUCCACAAUGGAGACACAUGGUUGCUGGUGGAUACCAUCUGUUUGCAUGGCAUGUUUGCUAGUUUGAGUAUGUCAGAUUGCGCCACUACUGUUCAGCUGAGCCAGGUGGGGGACAAGGCCGAGUUUGUGUUCUUGCAGAUGCGUCAACGCGUAUUCUAUCUAGAUAUCAAGUGC